GUGCUCUAGCACACAUACUAAAAUUGGGAAAAUACAAAGAAAAUUAACAUUGUCCUUGCACGAGAGUGGUGCACAAUUUCAUGAAGCAUUCCAUAUUUUU
ensembl:snRNA U6 U6 spliceosomal RNA